AAGUACUACUCUCACUCCCAUCCUUGGUGAGAUGUAUCAUCUUCAAGUUUAAAAACCUAAGAGAUGUUUGAAAACAUCAAUAAUAAAGUAGUGGUGAGUGAUUCCUUGGGACUCUAUGUUCUUGAAGUUUUUCAAUUACUAGAGUAUUAAAUAUAUCUAUAAUUGUGACCUUUUUGAGAGUGUGAUAAUUAUGGACUCUAAUAUUUCAUGUAUGAGCUUCUCAAUUUAAAUCUUUUGAAAUAAAGGUAUUAGAAUGGUAUGAUGUUAUUACGUAUAGAGUUUGGCUUCACUUGGAUUGCUUGAUGUACUUUUCAGUUUGAGGGUUAGUCGGACAUAUUCAAAAUUAAUCUUUGAGUUGACUUUGUUAAAGCUAUGAAGGCAAUGUAUUUUGAUGAUGAGAAAGUAAUCUAGGAUCAAUUCAUGAUAAUCAAAUAAAUGAAUUAUGCUUAAAUAAUUUACAUGCAUAAGAUGAACA
rnacentral:lncRNA from 1 species